AUUGAACGCUGGCGGCAGGCUUAACACAUGCAAGUCGAGCGGGGGAAGGUAGCUUGCUACCGGACCUAGCGGCGGACGGGUGAGUAAUGCUUAGGAAUCUGCCUAUUAGUGGGGGACAACAUCUCGAAAGGGAUGCUAAUACCGCAUAAGUCCUACGGGAGAAAGCAGGGGAUCUUCGGACCUUGCGCUAAUAGAUGAGCCUAAGUCGGAUUAGCUAGUUGGUGGGGGAAAGGCCUACCAAGGCGACGAUCUGUAGCGGGUCUGAGAGGAUGAUCCGCCACACUGGGACUGAGACACGGCCCAGACUCCUACGGGAGGCAGCAGUGGGGAAUAUUGGACAAUGGGGGGAACCCUGAUCCAGCCAUGCCGCGUGUGUGAAGAAGGCCUUAUGGUUGUAAAGCACUUUAAGCGAGGAGGAGGCUACUCUAGUUAAUACCUAGGGAUAGUGGACGUUACUCGCAGAAUAAGCACCGGCUAACUCUGUGCCAGCCGCCGCCGUAA
rnacentral:rRNA from 1 species